GGCUCAGAGUGAACGCUGGCGGCAGGCCUAACACAUGCAAGUCGAGCGGCAGCGCGUCCGACCACCCUCGGGUGGUCGGAUGGCGGCGAGCGGCGGACGGGUGAGGAAUGCAUCGGAAUCUGCCUCGUUGUGGGGGAUAACGUAGGGAAACUUACGCUAAUACCGCAUACGACCUACGGGUGAAAGUGGGGGACCUUCGGGGCCUCACGCGAUGAGAUGAGCCGAUGCCGGAUUAGCUAGUUGGCGGGGUAAAGGCCCACCAAGGCGACGAUCCGUAGCUGGUCUGAGAGGAUGAUCAGCCACACUGGAACUGAGACACGGUCCAGACUCCUACGGGAGGCAGCAGUGGGGAAUAUUGGACAAUGGGGGCAACCCUGAUCCAGCCAUGCCGCGUGUGUGAAGAAGGCCUUCGGGUUGUAAAGCACUUUUGUUGGGGAAGAAACCGGCCGGGUUAAUACCCUGGUUGAAUGACGGUACCCAAAGAAUAAGCACCGGCUAACUUCGUG
rnacentral:rRNA from 1 species